UACAGAGGGUGCAAGCGUUGUUCGGAAUUAUUGGGCGUAAAGCGCGUGUAGGCGGCUUAGCAAGUCAGGCGUGAAAGCCCUCGGCUCAACCGAGGAAGUGCACCCGAAACUGCUGAGCUUGAGUGCCGGAGAGGAUGGCGGAAUUCCCCAAGUAGAGGUGAAAUUCGUAGAUAUGGGGAGGAACACCGGUGGCGAAGGCGGCCAUCUGGACGGUAACUGACGCUGAGACGCGAAAAGCGUGGGGAGCAAACAGG
rnacentral:rRNA from 1 species